rnacentral:hammerhead_ribozyme from 1 species
GCACUGCUGAGGAGUCCUAAACUAGGACGAAACAGCCGUCCAGUAC